UCGAGCGGAACGAGUUAUCUGAACCUUCGGGGAACGAUAACGGCGUCGAGCGGCGGACGGGUGAGUAAUGCCUAGGAAAUUGCCCUGAUGUGGGGGAUAACCAUUGGAAACGAUGGCUAAUACCGCAUGAUGCCUACGGGCCAAAGAGGGGGACCUUCGGGCCUCUCGCGUCAGGAUAUGCCUAGGUGGGAUUAGCUAGUUGGUGAGGUAAGGGCUCACCAAGGCGACGAUCCCUAGCUGGUCUGAGAGGAUGAUCAGCCACACUGGAACUGACACACGGUCCAGACUCCUACGGGAGGCAGCAGUGGGGAAUAUUGCACAAUGGGCGCAAGCCUGAUGCAGCCAUGCCGCGUGUGUGAAGAAGGCCUUCGGGUUGUAAAGCACUUUCAGUCGUGAGGAAGGUAGUGU
rnacentral:rRNA from 1 species